rnacentral:lncRNA from 1 species
GAGCAGAGGACUGGAAACAGUGCUGGAUGUCUGGCUUAAAACAACACCACUUAUCAUCUUAUCAUCUCUGGGUCAGACCAGAUGUGGCUCAGCUCACUCAGCUCAGGAUCUCUGGUAAGGCCACAGUCAAGGCGCCAGCUGGGGCCACGGUCAUCUCAAGGUUCAACUGAGCCGGGAUUCUCUUCCACUCUCACUCAGUGGCUGGACGUGGGAUUCAGUCCCUCAUGGAGGGCUGAACUAAGAGCCUCAGCUCCUCCCUGACGAUAGGCCAGAGCCUGACCACCCUCAGUUUCUCAACACAUGAGCCCAUCCAUGAAGCAGUUCCUGACAUGGCAGCCAGCUUGACCAGACUUAGCAAGUGAGAGAAACAAGAGAGUGCCCAGAGGAGAAAGUCACAGCCUUUCAUGAGCUAAUACCCGAAGUGACAUCCCAUCCCCCCUGCAGAAUUCUGUUGGUUAAAGGCGAGACCCCAGGACCAGCCCACACUCCAGGGAUGAGGAUCACACAAGGGCAUGGACUCCAGGAGGCAGGGACCACCGGGAACCAUUCGAAGGCUGCCUACCAAGAGUCUGAAAUAAAACCAGAGUGCCUUCACUGGCAAACUUCAACCCUGGACCACACGGGGAAAGGGUUCUGGGAAUUGUAGUUCCUGCUUCUCCGCUGUAACAUACAAGGGAUCUUAGAUGGAGACGGGGGUGAUGCCCACGUGAUUCAGACGGUCCAGCAUGGUGCACCAGGAUCCACAGACAACUCUUUACCCAUAUUUAACUUCCAAAAACAGGCAGUAAGAACAUCACGCUUCUGCAUAACGUGAUCCAACUCCCCCUCAACCAAAGGCAGCUGUGCUCGCUCUUUCCCAAGGCCCAGCUCUCUCUCCAAUGUCUCAUUUAUCUCUUAGCCGUUCCCAGCCCAGUCACAACUCCCCUGUAACAUCUUAUAACAUAAAUGUUGAAUCAAACAUACCUUGUGUUAGAUGGAGAAGAUUGGGAAACGAGAAAGAGUUAAAAAAAAAGAGAAGGAAAACGGUCAAAGAGCAAGCCAAUUUUUGGAAGAAUGUUUUUAUGAGCAGCUUCCCAUUUAAUGAUGUAUUUCAAACUAAGAUGUCCC